rnacentral:lncRNA from 1 species
AAGGUGAAAGCUAUUCUUAUUCAAAAUUUAUUCUAAUUUCUAUUCAUCUCUAUUCAGAACUUAUUCUUAGAAUGCAUGUGGGAAACACUGCAGCCAAGGAAACUGAAAACACUAACCUAAACACCACAUUUCAAAAUCACAAACUCUGGAGUUCUUGGAGCUAGUAGAGGAGAGGCGAGCAAGCUCCCUUAUAGAAGAUGGCAACGGAGGUCCUUAAAGUUGCUAAAGAAGGUUCUCAACAUGAUCCUACGAGGUGUAGAUGGUCAAUGGGGGUGCACGGCCAAGUGCAUAGAGUAGCAGAGGGAGAGAGGCACUAGUAGGUCGAUGUGGGUUUCCUGGCUUCUCUCAGGCUGAAUCUAGUUGGAAGGGAGCAUAGAAGGAAGAUGGAGAGAAAGCUGGGUAGAGAAAGGUGAGGGCUUCGGUUAGUUUUUUUAUUUGAAGAAAGAGAUCAAGAAAAGCUUAUGUAGAUGAGAAUUUCUCUUUCCAGGUACAAGCAAUAGGACUUCUGUUUUAUUCAAAAAGGG